GGAGCUAAUCCCUUAAAGCUACUCUCAGUUCGGAUUGUAGGCUGAAACUCGCUACAUGAAGCUGGAGUUACUAGUAAUCGCAGAUCAGAAUGCUGCGGUGAAUGCGUUCCCGGGUCUUGUACACACCGCCCGUCACACCACGGGAGUUGGAGACGCCCGAAGCCGAUUAUCUAACCUUUUGGAAGAAGUCGUCGAAGGUGGAAUCAAUAACUGGGGUGAAGUCGUAACAAGG
rnacentral:rRNA from 1 species